rnacentral:lncRNA from 1 species
UUUUUUUUUGUUUUGCUAGAGCUCCUCAGAUGUCCAAACACCAUGAAAAUUUGCCCGCAUCCGAGCAUCUUGGAUGCCAAAAAAAGAAAAUCGGAUUCUUUUGAAUUUUCUUUUUUAUCACUGUUCAUCGGGUGUAGAUGAGCCUGAGCUCAGAUAGCAAUUACAAUUUGUUUAUAUAUAUGUAAUCAACAGGAUUGUUCAGUAUCCCAGGUCUGGGAUGGACCAACCUGAAGUUCUUUUCAGGAGAUGUGUAGAUGUGAAGCUUUUCUGAGAUUAGCAAAAAUUGCUUUGCUUGUUAGAAACUGUGACUCUUCCUUCUUAUAGAGAUUGCCCAGUCUGGCUAUUGGAGCCUUCUGGCUGUUAUUCUGUUAAGUCCUUCUAUAAUGCCAUAAUCUUUGGACAUGUGGUCUCACCCCAAGAAUUGAUUAGGAAGAUUUUGACUCCUCAAAAAAAUUAUGUAUUCCUUUGGUUGUGUUUUAUAAGCAAAAAUCAACUACGGAUAAUAAUCUAGCUAAGAGAUGGACUGUCGAUGACAUGGCUUUCUAUAAUUGCAACCGACAAAGCUGACACGAUUAGGAGGCCUCUAGUUUGCUCUUGCGGCAGCUGGUCUAAAGACUUGUGGGCUUUCCUUUUCAGACACCAGGACUUGUCGCUUGUUUGUUGCUUAGGACGAACACGUUCCAAUCAAGUGUUUCAAGACAAAAAUAGCAAGGUUGAGAAUGAAUAAUCUCUGUUCGCUUUAUUCAGUAGAAAUGCUUACAGAAUGUCAAGUUUCUGACUCAAGCAAAGCAGCAAACAAACCUUUGUAGGAGAAAAAGAGAAUUACUGUUCACUCAGGGCAAGCCGUGGGAAAAAAAGGACUCACGCCACAUAAGAAUACGCACUCACAAACCACAAGGAGAAAAGAGGGGAGAAAAAGAAAAUGUACACUUCAGUUAGCGACAGUCUUCGGCGCACAGCGAGGAUUA